ACUCCAGGAAAAAAAGAGUAACGUUAGGAAAAAGGCUUGUGUCUCUCUGUGACCAACCAGGUUAUGAUGACAAUUUCACUGAAAGUCUCUGACAUUGAGAAAAUUACAAGCCCAUUGUGGUGCUAUAGUAGUGUAGUCAAUGUCCAACCGGUGGCCUCUGAAGUGGCUAAGGAGGGCUCACAAAGUAAUGAGUAAGAGAGCAAAGCUCCAGCCCUUAAACAGGCUAAGCUCCUCACUUGGAGACCGGUACAGUGACAACCUUUAAGGUUCAAGGGGACUUGCUCUUUAAGCCUUGAAGAAAAACUUUUUGUUUAUGUGACCUUUGUUAAUAGAACCACGGAACUCCAAUGCCAUCUUCUUAAUGAAUAUUCCAACUGGAAAAGGCAAAGUCUCCCCUCUCUGACACAAUUCUCCCAUAUUCUGCUACCUUUCCUUAGGGACUAGCAGCAAACAAGAAAACAAUUCAUAUAUAUUUUAUAAAUCUUGGGCUAAUGGCAUAAGAUAAAAAACUUAAGGCAUGGGGUUGGGGAUUAAGCUCAGUGGUAGAGUGCUUGCCUAGCGAGCACAAGGCCCUGGGUUCGGUCCCCAGCUCCGAAAAAAAAAAGAAAAAAAACCAAAAAACAAAAAAACUUAAGGCAUAAAUACAUGUUUUACCUCAACAAAAUAAUGGAAAUGAAAUUUGAAGUUGUAAGGAUAGAUUAACUUCUGUUUAAUUGAGUGGGGGGAGGAUCAAUAAACUCGGUCAGAGUGUAGAAAAGGGGAAAAGAAAAACAUUCACUGCUGAGAAGGUCAUAGAUUGGAAUAAAGAUUUGAGCUGGAUGUGCUUGUCCAGUCCACACUGUGCCUAUGUGUCUCUGAGACUGAGUAAGAGACUGAAAUCAUACAGCUCUGCUCACCAGGGAAGUUCAGCUUAAAACAUCAGUCUAGCUUUGCUAAGAAUGGGCUUCAAAGCUUAAAAAAGAGAAAAGGGGCAGGAGUUAGCUUAUCUCAUGAACGCUGUCUCUGGUGUGCUGUAGAGGACAGUCAGCUACAGAGGAAGAUCACAGCCUAUGCCCUCCUUUCACUACUUAUUCUGGUAUUAGCUGUCUCACUCAACCGUCCAACUUUUAGCAUUAGCAAAGCAUUCCCAGGGAAGUAAAAAAUACAAUCUCUUUUUCUGGUCUGUCUUUCAUCAUCUGCACUAUUUUCUAGAUUCCAGGUAUAACUACUAAUUCAAAAAGCCAAGGAAGUACUAGUAUAUAUAUAUACAUAUGUAUACAUGCAUACAUGUUUUGCUUUGGUUGUUGUUGGCUGGCCUGGAAUUCACUCCUGCUGGGAUUAAAGGUGUGUAUCACUGUGCCUAGCUUGAAGAAUGUUCACAACAGGAUUUUAUUGUUUCAGGUAAAUGAAGCUGCUAGAAGGAGGCAUGCCUAUCAUCUGAGGGCAGACUCACGUGUAGCAACAGAGGCAAGCACAUGGAUGUGGAAGGAAGGAAGGAAGGAAGGAAGGAAGGAAGGAAGGAAGGAAGAAAGGAAGGAAGAAAGGAAGGCAGGCCGGCCAUUCCCACUGAAUAUCUCAGGGACACACCUUUUUCUAAGCCUCCUACAAGCCACUCAAGGAAAUUUAACCUUUACAAGGAGUCCCUGAAGCUGUGACUCAGGGACCACAGAGGACUUAAGGAGGCCAGAAGCUCUGAAGGCCGAGUAACCAACCAAGCACUCCAAUCUUUACCUUCUUCUUUUCUGGAUUCCCAACAUUCGCCAGGGCUAUGAAGCGAGUGGCAUGCUGCGCACUUUCUUGUAGAACGACAUGGUUUCUGAAAGGCACGACAACUGACCUCAUCACUACAAAUCAACAGCUCCCAUUUUUGCCUUAAUUCCUGCCCUUCCAGUGCCACCUGCCCCUGCCCCCCCCUUUCCUGUUAAUGGGAGAGUUGGUGCUGAGGGAUGGAAAGAGGACCUGUAAAUGCUGCUGGUGGGGUGGGAAGCUGAGCAGCAGCUCACGCCUAAGUCAGAGCCGCCACCUGACCUGGCACCACUAGGCUUACACGCAAACCCCUUCAUGGGAACAGUGGAACCACCUAGCUACCCAGCUCAUGAGUGGGUUUUUAAAUGGUGCACAUACACAAUGGGAUUUCCAACAUUAAAACAAAAACACAUUUAUUUGCAGGAAAAUGGACUGAGCUAGAAAUCAUUAUAUAAAGAGAAACAAACUACUCAGACAGACAAACACUACACAUUUUCUCUAAAAUCUAGAUUUAAAAGUGUGUGUGUGCGCGCGCGCAGGUGUGUGUUUAUGUGAAAUCAGAAAAUGAGAGGAAGGACUCUUAACUGUGGUUAGGGUUAGGGUUAGGGUGGGACUGAGACAGGGUCGUGGACCACCAUUUUACUCUGGAUUUGCAACUGUGAAGUAGAUAAGAGUCCACAGGCUCAUUAGAAGAACAAGCCUUGAAUUCACCACAGGUCAUAUGACCUUCGAAGCUACCCAGCAUUCCAGUGCUUAUGGAUCCCUAAUCUCUUAUGUAAAAGACAUGAAAACAAUGAGACUACAAAAGUAUGUUCUAAGUUGAGCAGAUAUGCAUCAAACACUAAUAUGCAGUAUACUUUGAUUUUUACAGAUGUUGACUUGUCCUGGAUGCACGGUAGAACCGUUCUGUUAGCUUCUCUAGCUUUAAAAGUGCUCUGCACUUAUCAACACGGGUAACUAAGGGAAGACAAGUGUGAGCAAAGGCAACUCUUAAGGUGCUGGAGGGUGAGCAUCAGUACAAAUUCUUGGUGGGCAGAGAGAAACACAACGUCUCAGCUUUAGCCCAGGCUGGCUCUGAACUCACUGAAAUCCUCCUACUUCAACCUCCAAGUGUAAGGGAUUACAGGCAAGACACACCACACCCAGUUCAAUGUAAGUUCCUGAUUCUCAAACUGAAAUUCUAAAUUCCAAAGUGACUGUGCCGACAGCUGAGUAUUCAAGACUAAAUAAAGAACACACACUGAUUUGACCUGAUGAAGGCAGGACCUCACAGGUGCAGUAGCACAUGCCUUCAUCCCAGCACUCAGAGGCAGAGGCAGAUGGAUCUCUGUUGACAUUUUACCACAGCAACAAAAAUGAAACUAACACAGUGCCUUAGGACUCGACGAAACCAAGACACACGGCUAAAUGGGAACAGAGUUUACAGAGACCACCCAUAAGAUGUUACUCACCGGUAUGGAAGUCUCUCAUAAUACGACUUUUCCAACGCGGCAAAAUGAUACCUCGGUUUCAAGCUUACGGCAAGGCUAGAGAUCAAAGCAGAGCCACACUGUUUGGUAUCUACUUCUCCCUAGUAAAUGGGAACUUGGUUAGCCACACAGACUCAGGAAUUAUAAAGAAAUGUAAAGAAACAAGAAAACGUUUUGAAAUAUCUUUCAAAUUUAUACACAGAUGCAUAUUUGCAGUGAACUGCAUACCCUAGGGCAAUCAAACAUUUUAAAACAUUGGAAUAUUAAAAUUACAGAAUGGCACAAUCGUUGGAAACCAGAGGGAACAAGCCACGGCAAUUCCUCCACAGUAACCUCUACAACAAACAUUAAGACUCCUUUUGAGAAAAGGUCUCUCCCUACAGCCUUUAAACUACAUCUGCAUAACACAAUUCACAGUGCACAUGUGUAUCUGACAGAGUAAGUCAUGGUCGAGAAGUAAGUAAACACUAGCACCCAGAGUGACCAGGGCCCACAGACGUUCAAGGCUCUCAUUACCGAACAAGCUGUUCUUCUGUUCAGUCAAGGAAAUGGCACAGCCACUCCUAUGUUAAAGAGCUUAUGGGGGCUUUAACCCAGCACUCGGGAGGCCAAGGCCAAGGCAGGGAGAUCAGCCUGGUCUAUAUGGCUAGUUCCAGGACAGCCAGGGCUACAGAGACCCUGUCUCAAACAAAACAAAACAAAACAAAACAAAACAAA